rnacentral:rRNA from 1 species
UACCAGACUCCUACGGGAGGCAGCAGUGGGGAAUAUUGCACAAUGGGGGGAACCCUGAUGCAGCGACGCCGCGUGGGUGAAGGAGCACCUCGGUGCGUAAAGCCCUAUCGGCAGGGAAGAAAAGCGAACAGGUUCGCCUGGACGGUACCUGACUAAGAAGCCCCGGCUAACUACGUGCCAGCAGCCGCGGUAAUACGUAGGGGGCAAGCGUUAUCCGGAUUCACUGGGGGUAAAGGGAGCGUAGACGGCAGUGCAAGGCUGGAGUGAAAGGCGGGGGCUCAACCCCCGGACUGCUCUGGAAACUGUACGGCUGGAGUGCAGGAGAGGUAAGUGGAAUUCCUAGCGUAGCGGUGAAAUGCGUAGAGAUUAGGAGGAACACCAGUGGCGAAGGCGGCUUACUGGACUGUAACUGACGUUGAGGCUCGAAAGCGUGGGGAGCAAACAGGAUUAGAUACCCGCGUAC